rnacentral:rRNA from 1 species
CCUACGGGAGGCAGCAGUGAGGAAUAUUGGUCAAUGGACGAGAGUCUGAACCAGCCAAGUAGCGUGAAGGAUGACUGCCCUAUGGGUUGUAAACUUCUUUUAUAUGGGAAUAAAAUGUUCCACGUGUGGGAUUUUGUAUGUACCAUAUGAAUAAGGAUAGGCUAACUCCUUACCAGCAGCCGCGGUAAUACGGAGGAUCCGAGCGUUAUCCGGAUUUAUUGGGUUUAAAGGGAGCGUAGGGGGAUUGUUAAGUCAGUUGUGCAAGUUUGCGGCUCAACCGUAAAAUUGCAGUUGAAACUGGCAGUCUUGAGUACAGUAGAGGUGGGCGGAAGUCGUGGUGUAGCAGUGAAAUGCUUAGAUAUCACGAAGAACUCCGAUUGCGAAGGCAGCUCACUGGACUGCAACUGACACUGAGGCUCGAAAGUGUGGGUAUCAAACAGGAUUAGAUACCCGUGUAGUC